GGCUGGGAAUAUGGCCUAGUGGUAAAGUGCUCGCCUUAAAACAGGUAUGUAACUUAAGAAAGCAUGCACUUUAAGUAGUAGCAUAUCACUAGAAAUGAUAAAUUCCCCAAAUUCUACCUAUUUUAAUUAUCUGUGGGAAAACGAUUUGGCAGGGACUUUCAUCUAAGCAUAAAGCCAAUGUAAGAUUCAGGAAUACCUGAAAUUUGCUUACUUGUUGUACCCAACUUUUCAGUGUUUUUUUUUUUUUUUAAUUGAAUAGCAGCCUUCAUUGUAGCAUUACUUAAGGUCUCAGCAGUUUCAGCCCUUCAUCUAGCUCAGGAUAGUAGUCCUCCUAACAUCCGUAAUAGCCACCCUAAUUCCAUAUGAUUAUGAUAAUAGAAGCAAAAGUGUUACUUUAAA